CCCGGGUCGGCCCUUCACGGCGCUCCCACCCCCGGCCCUAUACUCUCCAUCCCCUACACGGUGCUCCCAUCCCCUGCACUGCGCUCCCAGCCCGUGUCCCAGCUCAGCCCCACUCUGUGCUCCCGGCGCUGUUUUGCACUGUGUGUGUGCAAGGGGAAAAUAAAUGCGUCUUCCCCCGGGUGAGUGAGCGUCGGUUUGUGCUCACGCCGGCUUUGAUCGCCGGGUGCACGCGCUGCUCGCUCCGGGCGGCGGACGGACUGCUCGAAAAUGGCCCCGUCCGUCACCGCUGAAGUUACGGCUCAGGCAGCGCCGUGCAAUCGCCGCCGAUCGUUUCCCGUCGCCGUCCUCCCUGGGAGCAGCGCGGCCGUUUCUGCCUCCAUUUCCACUUUUUGCCGAGGCUGCUGCUCACAAAGAUACUAAUCGCGAUGGCGGGUUUUAUGUUAAUGAGUCGCACGUAAUGAUCAACCCGGCAACUACAGACCUUCAAAUCGCAGGCUGGCCGCGGCGUGGCCGUGACCAAUGGCACUGGGUGGGGACGCUCCAGGCCUGCGCCCGCCGAGCGCACAGCCGACGGCGCCGGGCACGUGCGGCUGAUGCCCGGAGACGGAACCCCGCGGCUCCCGAAGCGCAGCGCUCGUGGGGCUGCUGGCUGCUCAGCGCAGCCACGGCCGGGUCCUGCGGUGUGGGGGGCACGGAGGCUCGGGGGCCCCGUGGCACAGCCUGAUGGACGUCCGCGGGGACGGAGCUGUGCAGCCCUCCGGAGCCCGGCUAACGACGUGACGGGUUUGGUAGCGCUAAAAUAGGAUUUGAAUCCCGGGAAGCAUCAUUUCACAUUCCAGUGAUCUAAUCAAAAUCCUCUCCUCUAAUCUCUCCGUGGUCCCCCUUUUCUAGAUGAAAGAGGCCGGAGUUGCUGCCUUCACCCUUCAUCCGCUGCCUCCCCGUUCUACCAGUCUGUUCUGUGUCCAGGCAACUGCAAAGAGACAUUUCAAAGGCUCCUGCCGUGCCAUGGAGAUGUUUUCUCUUGUUAGUUUGGGCUGCAGGAGCUCCAUCCUGUCUCCUUGCUGCCAGUCUGACAGAGCAGCUCUGUGCUGGAUCCCGACGUGUUUCAGCAGCGCGGUGGUGAAGAGGGGCACACGGUGUGGCCGAACUGGGGAUGUGCUGGGAACGGUGGGCCGGCAGCCGGCUGCUGGGCGCCCGGUGCUCCUGCUGGCUGCAGGGCAGGAUCAGUGCCUCGCCUGCCGUUGCCGUUCACCCAAGGAGGUCUCUCCUGCCGGCUCUGCUUUCUGGAAGCGCUGCAUUCCAUGCCGUCCUGCGGGGCUCAGAGCCCUGCAGAGCAGUGGUGAUCUGCGCCGUGUUUCUGCUGGACCGUACCUGGCCGAGAGGGAAGAAGGAGCCGGGCUGUCGGUGCGCCCUGGCAAGCAGCCGGUGGGGAUAAAGUUUCCUCAGAUUAUGAUGUUUUCAGAAAUCAGCUCUGUGUGCUCGUUUGAGGCAGGCUUCCUUAAGGUGUAGCCACACAGACACCCUUACCAAGCUCACAGAGGGGGAUUAAGAUUGGAUAUAUGGAAGUUUUUUACCAUUGGGGUGGAGAGGCACUGCACAGACUGCUCAGAGAGUGGUGCCCAUCCCUGCAGAGCCCCAGGGUCAGGCUGGAGGGCUGUGAGCCCUGAUGGACCUGUGGGUGUCCGUGUGCACUGCAGGCAGUGGAACCAGAUGGCCUCUGGGUGUCCCUUCCAACUCAAACUGUUCUGUGAUUCUACGAUUUUAGAACAUGAAAAGCAGAGAGGAACUCAUCCCAAAUCCCGUCCCUCUCCAGUCUGAACACAUCAUUCUGCCACUCUUCAGCUGGAUUUGAGAGCACAGUGAGCCUUGUUCCAUCCAUCGUGUUACACCGUGCCCAUUGCAUAGUCAGACUCCAGAGGGACCGCAGAGAACAGAGCUAGCCAAGCAGACAGGUAAUUUAUGUUGCUGAGAGAUUUAGCCCAGAUUAAGAUCAAGAUUCAUAUUAUGCCUUUAACAUCACAGAUUUUUUUUUUCCAAUUAUUGUCGAUGACUCCACUGAUUUAUGUCCUGUAACAGCCAGAGGUUUUGCAGCACAUAAAUUGCAGAAAAUUUGGCCAGCAAUCCAUGGUGAUCUGUGCAGGCUCAGGAACCCCCUGAGCUGCAGAGGGAUGGAAGGCGGAGGGCACUGCAGCCUUCCCUGGGUGCCCACCCGAGGGCAGUGGCAGACAGCACUCUCACCUGGCUGGGCUCCUGUUCUCAUCCGGGAUGCUUGGAAUCACUGUGGGGGUUCCCAUCUUGUUUGGUACUUUGGGGAAGUUUUUGCACAAAUCAUGUACAGGGUAGCACACAUGAUCCAAAUGUGAAAUCCUUUGAGCACUACAGAGGCUCAGGUAGGUGGAAGAGAAGAAAGCAGUUCUUACAGAGGGCAGGGAAAACGGCCACAAUUAAAAGCGAAGCAAAUUUGGGCAGUGUGGUUGCUUGCUCAUUAGCUCUGAAGACAUUCAUAAGCAUUCAGCAUAACCCACAACAGAUCUUCAUUGAGAAUUUGUGGAUUAACCCACAGCAACAAAGGCAUGUGAUGACAUCGUAGUGGUAUUCUUUGCCGUGCGCCGUAGAUGUUACUGAAGACCCCAAAAGAACAAACAGCAUCGAUGUGCACAGUGAAUGGAGUCUGCCUUCCCAGACUGGACACAUCUGCAGUAUUUCUGUCAAAUAACUGGUUUUCUUACAGUGCAUUCUAUCCAGAUGCAUGGUCAGGUUUUGGCCAACAUAAGCAAUAACAAUACCCAUAGGCAAUCAAAAGAAUUAGAGAAUAAAAGGACCUAUCAGAUCAUCUACUCCCUGCAGCUGGCAGUGAAGAACAGUUUCACACUGAAUCCAAUAAGUAUGUGGUUUGUGCCAGCUUUCAUUGUAGGCAUUACCCUUGCCUGGUUGAGCUUCACCCCGUAUGCAGGGCGAUAUUGGAGGCAGCGUUCUGCUGGGGUGAGCCUGCACGUGCCUGUUCUGGAUGGGCAAAAUUCCAACCUUUUUUCCUCACUCCUGGAACUUUCCACUUAUUUACUUCUUCUUCACACUUUCUUUCAUUUUUUUUUACGCAUCUUUUUCUGUGUUAUCCAACCAUUGCUGCUCCUCAACUCUUGCUAUUCCUCAACUCUUGCUGCUCCUCAGCUCUUGCUUCUCCUCUUGUAGAUCUUCAGUAUUUUCCAUAUUAUUUAAGAAUAAAAAUCGGAAACCAAUAAACAAAAUCCCUUCCUGCUUUCUGAGCCACGCUGAUGAUGCUCCUUACUUUGUGCCAUUCCCCCACGGUGGGAGCGCUGGGUUAGUGCUGGAGCUGGGGCUGGGAGCUGUGCUCAGCUGCUGUCACCGCUCCCUUCGUGCCAUUCACUGAAUCUCCCCGCAGUUCCUCCAUUCUGUGUGACACCUGUGGUCAUCAGGAGAUACAGAUCUCGUGGUGGCUGUGAGGUCAGAAGAGGGAAGCUGCAAGCAGGCGAUGGAGAGAUGAGUACCUGAGACAGCUGAGGGGGCACUCCCUCCCCUACCAGUUUCCCUUUCAUUCACUUCCCGAUAGGGCCAAUAAAGCGGGUAAGCGUACAGCUGAUGCUAUCUUGGAAACAAAGAGAGAAGAAAGGUUGUUCUUGCACUUCCAAUCGUGGCAGCUCCCUCUCCCACUGGGAAGAAGGGCAGGUCCCCACACUCCCCCCCAGCCAGGCACUGCCUCCCCCUCCUCCUGCUAACCCUGCCAAGGGUGGUCCAGGGGUGGCACCGGGUCCGGUGCUGCUGGCUCAGCCCUGCAGUGCUCAGGGAGAGGCAGCCACACCAGGCCCUGUUGCAACACGCAGCGACGGGAGAUGGGAGGCAGACGGGUGUGCGGGGCCGGAGAGACAGGUGUGUGCGGAGAUGGGCGGAUAGCGAGGCAGACAGACAGCCUCAUCCGGUGCGAAACAAAACCCCGCAGCACUGGCUGGGAGCUGCAUUGGUCGCAGCACAGGAUGUUUAGGAUGGUUGAGGUGGUUUGUCUUCAAAUAACGUGUGUGAUUUCAUUUGGGGAAGCGCAUCUUUUCUUAGAAACACGACUGUGACUUGCUUGGAACAACUGUGAUUCGCUGCAGACACAACUGUGCUUGGCGCUGUUGGACCCGAACGCCGGGGUAGGAGAAGCAGUAACUGUGGAUUAAUGCAGAAAGGGAGAAAAUAGAGACCCUUCGAGGGAGCCAUAAGUUCACUGCAGCCUCCAUAUACUGGCACAGUGUAGUAAAUAUUUUGCUGUGGAGAACCUCCUCGUGGGGAGUGCAUGGGGUUCCUGCCUCAGCACAGAGCGCACACAAAGCUGCUGCUCAGCUUUUUGUGCCACUCUCUCUCGUAUGAGACUCAGCCAAGUGAAUGGGAGACGCAACACACCACCAGCUCAGCACCAGUCCUGUGCCAAUGUGCUAUAGGAAGGCCAUGUUUAGGAGGUGGAUAUCCCUAGGGGAAAUGGUACACCUGAAAAUGAACCCACGUGCUAAAGACAGCAGAUCAGGAUUGUAUUCAUUCUGUAACGCGUAGGAAAGAAGUUGAUUGUUUUUCCCUUGGCAUUGCUUCACUUCCUGCUUGGUGUUUGGGUGGUGAUGGAUUACCAAAAAGGAAAAAAAAGAAAGAAAAAGUAAAUGUAUUUUAAAAUUACCUUUUGCUUUUGAAUAAAUAGAUCCAGUCUCAUUCAGGUCACAAUUCUCCACGUGUACACCUGGCCCUUAUUUGCACUGCUUGGCCUUGUCCUGGAUGGAAGCUUUAACCUGAUGUGAAUCCAGAGGAGUUACAUGGGAGCCCAUGGGAUUGCUGUGCAUGUCCUUGGGGGUAGGCUGGUGCAGACCUCGGCCGACGCAUCUUGUUGUGUUCUUUCUGUAAAUAACCAGCUGGAUUUGGCCCAAGAGUAAAACAAAUUGAAACCAUUCACAAAGAGAAGAGGUAAAUGGCUUAAGGGAUCAGAGCAGUGUAUUGGUGGGCUGCCUCCAAGUCUCCAGUUUUUAAUAGUACCCGAGCUCACACAAAACUUUAGUUUAAUACGUUCCUAAAUGUGCUGCUGUGUGGGGCCGGCUGCUGGCUCCGGGCCGUGCAUGUAAGACCUGUUUUCAUGGAAGGAUUAUAUUAAAACAUUUAAAAACUGCAAGAAGGAGAAUGUUCGAGGGCAGCCAGCCGGGAGGAAGCACGUCUAACUUCAUCACGUGAAGUGUUUAUAAGUGCAGUUCAUCAGCAUGUACGAAAGAGUAAUUUUGGGGGGAACUUUUCAGGCCUCAACUGCCGCACAGAAAAGAAAUAAUCGCUGAUUUGUCUUUAUCAAGGAUUCCCAGAGAAUGCGCUGCGCUCCAGAUAUUUAUUUUGACCUUUUAUUCUUUUUAAAUAUCUUAUUGUUUGGCUGAUGGGUUCUAAUUAGCGUUUUUGUCUGCUCUCCGUGUGUGACUGACAGAAAUUGUUUGUCUGGUUUCUCCGAAAAUUGAAAUUCUUAGAAGAUUUUUGACAAAACGUUGGACUUUCUCAGACGUCUGAUUCACUUCUAGGCAGUCCUACGCAGAGCCAGGAGUUGGCCUCAGUGGUGCUGGUGGGUCUCUUCCAGCUCCGGAUGUUCUGUGAUUUGGUCACACGUGGGUUGCUGAAUUUGACCUACAACCCCCCCAUUUCUAUUUCCCUUCCAGCAUCGGUGUAAAUCUGAAGUGACACAGAACGGCUGGAAUUGCAAUGACGCGGUGUAACAGCGCUGACUAUCAAGCUUCAUAUAUAGAUUAGAUUAAUACAUAAAUCUAAUUUGAUAUUUCACAUUACUGGGCUAAUAUUUUACAGAUGUAAUGCCAAGUUGUUAAGUAAAUGAAAAUCACGGAGAGUCCAAUUCUGAAAGGAUUACUCAGGCAAAAAUCCCUGAAGUCAAAGGGAGUAUUGCCUGAACGAAGUCUGCAAAAUUAGAACUAGAGCCAUAUUCCCAAAGCAGACAAGUAGAUUUAUCUUAGAGAUCUGCCCAUGAGUUGAAUUCUUGUAGCAAUGAAAGAUAUAUUGGGAAAAUGAACAAGGAGGUAACCUGAAAUGUAAGGAGAGGCUGAUAAGAUCGCACCAACCCUGAGCAAGCACUUGUGUGGUUGGUGAUGUCAACAGGAACCCGAGCUGCUUUAAUAAACUUGUUCAUAGUUGUCCUAUACGUUGCUUUAUAUACCGAAAGGCACAGAUCACUUAAGAGUUUAACAGGAAAAGGAUUUAUAUUAAAUUUGCACAUAAAAUGCCUCUGUGAAAUAUGUGAAAUGCUUUUUUAUAUGAUUCCAAUAAAACAUUGAUCAUAAAA